AUUGAACGCUGGCGGUAUGCUUAACACAUGCAAGUCGAACGGUAACAGGCCUUCGGGCGCUGACGAGUGGCGGACGGGUGCGUAACGCGUAGGAAUCUGCCUGUUAGUGGGGGACAACUUGGGGAAACCCAAGCUAAUACCGCAUACGCCCUACGGGGGAAAGCGGGGGACCUUCGGGCCUCGCGCUAACAGAUGAGCCUGCGUUGGAUUAGCUAGUUGGUAGGGUAAAGGCCUACCAAGGCGACGAUCCAUAGCUGGUCUGAGAGGACGAUCAGCCACACUGGGACUGAGACACGGCCCAGACUCCUACGGGUGGCAG
rnacentral:rRNA from 1 species